rnacentral:rRNA from 1 species
UACGUAGGCAGCGAGCGUUGUUCGGAGUUACUGGGCGUAAAGGGUGCGUAGGCGGGUCUUUAAGUCAGGGGUGAAAUCCUGGAGCUCAACUCCAGAACUGCCUUUGAUACUGAGGAUCUUGAGUUCGGGAGAGGUGAGUGGAACUGCGAGUGUAGAGGUGAAAUUCGUAGAUAUUCGCAAGAACACCAGUGGCGAAGGCGGCUCACUGGCCCGAUACUGACGCUGAGGCACGAAAGCGUGGGGAGCAAACAGG